rnacentral:tRNA from 1 species
GGCGCUGAUAGCCUGCAAAAAUUGACUGUUAAUCAAUUGGUCGUAGGUUCGAUCCCUACCGCGGAGCCA